GUAAAAUUCUUCAAGGUUUACGUUGUUUCACAAUUACCACAAUUUUCAGGGUAAUUUUUAAGAGAAAAUUCUCUGCGUGUACUAAUGACAUUUCCCUCAUUAUAAAAAUUAUAUUAUAAAAAUCGAAUUAAUAACCUGCAUUAAUAAAUAUUUUAUUUUUUUUAUUCCACCUUAUAAUUUUGUUUUGAUUUCGAUUAAAACAAACGAUGCUAUCAGUGGCAUAUUUCAUUGCUUAUCUUGACAUUGUAAUCAACUUCAUCUCUUAAAUGUUCUGUCAAUUUACGUGUGAAAGUCCCUUGAGAAACAAUUCGCUUUGCAUGUAUGCGUGCAUGCUGAAAAAUCUGAAAUCGUAAAGUAUCAUUUUUCAUUUUAAAAUUUCUCGACACUGACUUCACAAAUUUUAUUCAGAAUGGUCACAAUCGUAAGUAUGUAUCAACACUAUAUUUACUUAUAUUGCGUAAUUUUUGCGUAAGUUUUAAAAUAUUUUAAUCAAAAAUUUAUUUAAUGUAUAAAUUCUAGCUGUCUAAGUUUAAUAGUGCCACGACAUUGUACACGUUACACGACCUGUCAAUUUUUUCUAUGUUAUUUUACUUAUAAAAAAUCAAACGUUAGAUUCUCACAACAAACGUCAUAAAUUAAUUAAUUUAAUAUCAAAAGAUUGAUUUUGUAUAUUACACAACAAUGGAUAAAAAUUACAAAGUGAGUAAAUUCAUUAUAUGGUGACUAGGAAAUCAUAAAUAUUCUAGUAAAUUUAUUCACUUUUGUAAUUUUCACUAAAUAUAUGAUUGAUCCCUAGAUCAUCGUGAUAAUAGUUGAACAUCAUUUUGCCACUAUCUGUCAUCGUUUACACGUCAAUCUAUUAAUCAAAGCUCAUCGAUUCUGAAAUUUUCAAAUGAUUUGGAAUACCUUGCGGAAAAAUAUUACAUUAACCAAUUGUAUUCAAGUACUGAUUUAAUCAAAGUCGAUUUAAAGAGAAAAUUGUGAAAUGAAUGUCACCGAAUAUCGAAUGAGAACCCUCGCUUUUAUUAUGCCUCCGAGUGAAGGUCCGAUCUCGGGAUGGAAAGGAUGUGCUCUUCGAGUUACGGUGCUCGCAGUAGGAUUCGGAAUUUACAUUUUGUUGUUCAAGAAGAAGAAUUUAUCCAGCGGAAGAUUGAGUUUACAGAGAACUCCAAAAAUUCCAAUCGAACCAGAUGACAAUUUAAAUACCGAAUUAAAAGAACUCAGCGAUGAUAGAUCCGUAGUAACAGACAAUGGUGAAGUCUGCCCCAUCUGUUUGGGAGAACCGAAGAUUGGUGUGAGACCUCUUUGCGGUCAUUUACUAUGUGCAGAAUGCCUAGCAAAUUAUUGCGAUGUUAGAAUCACACCUGCGCCGCCACCUUGCCCAUUAUGCAGAGCACCGUUGAACUCAGUGGCCUUGGCCUGUGACUUUGCUAUCUUAGGUCCUAAAAUGAUAGACCCAGACACUAUUAUGGUGCAAGAUUGGAUACGCAAAUAUAAUAAUCAUCGAGGUUUAGUGACACCGGUAUGGCCGUUUUUGACAACGCGACUUGUCCUUUUCUUUAAUAUCUUGACUUUUUUUCUGAUUGUCGGACUGCUCGCCACGAGACUUCAGAUAAUAUCCUGGGAAAAUUGAACGUUACAUAUGUGCUUGCAUUACCGAUAUCGAUAAUUGUGUUAAUUAUACGCGUCUAUCAAAAGUCAAGAAAAAUAGUCAAGUUCUUCUUAAGGAAACAUUAAAAGUAUGAAUUAUAAAAACAUCUUCAAUUGACAUGCAAUAAUUUUGACCACUAUAUUGUAUAUUUCGUGUGGAAUAAUUAAUACCUUGUCAGUAAUAUUUUAAUAUGUUAAUCAAUCCAAAACAAGAUUCACAAAAAAUAACAGCAAAUUUUUUUAUCAUUUUUCUUCUGUAAUCUACUAUAUUUAUUUUUAAAUGUAUAAUGUGUCUGUAAAUAUAAAAAGUGAUAUAAAAUGUGUAUAACAGAUUUUUUUUCAUGUAUUAACGAUAAAUAAAAUAUGUAAAUUUAAUAAAAUUAUAUCACAAAAAACGAACAAUAGUGUCAGCACUGUGAACUGCGAAAAUGCUGGUCAAGCGAUAUAUGAAUUCUAUUCGCCAAGCGGGUGCAUUAUGCAAUUGCAUGUUCUUGUACUCUUAAAUUUUUGCCGGGCAGGAUCGAUUAGUGGAUGGGAUUUCGGACCUGCAAGCACACCACAUAUAGAACGUUCUAGCUUGCGUUCUAAACAUUAAGUAUUAAUUAUUUUAUUAAACAAUUUUUUAAUCCAACCGCUGGCCCUUCAAUAGGAAGUAUGAUGUGUUAGCAGUUCUGAUUGUAAUUUUUUCGCAAUUCUUAAGAGUAUGUAAAACUCUUAUAAAGAGUGAACUUUAACUCUUAUGGAAAAUUAUGAAAUGGAAAAUUACUCGAAAAAUUGUAGUGGAAGUAUUUUCAUUCUAUAAAUUGUUAAUUUUUGGGGGGGAAUCGGAUUUACUACAACAAAAUACUGCAAUUGCAGAGAGUAUCAUAUAUAUGAGAAUACUUUCCGGAGUAGAUUCUCCGCAGCGUUAAAUCUGGCCUUCACGGAAAUAUCGAUGUCCUUGAACUUAAUUGCUAUACUAGAGCAAGUGCGAUCGAUCGAAUUCAAUCGAAACUCAACUGUGGUAAUCUAAACUUUAUUACAUAUUCUGAAUAAAUUUCUGUAAUAGUUAUCUAUCGUUGUAAUUUAUUAUAAUAUUCAAGAAAGACAUGGAAUAUAGGUUACUACUAUCAGUUAAUGUUAAUUAAUAAAACGUCUUGAUUCUAUUUUUUUUAAUUAACAAAAUGUUUUUUUCCAUUAAAAAUUAUAUAUCAGAAGAAUCCAAAGGUUUUGUUUUUACUUAUUAAAUUAUAUUAUUCCUAUAUCGAUCGAUUUUCACUUAAUAUUGUUUAUUUCACUAUAGUUGUACACUUUAAUGCAAAAUAGAAUUCUCAUAAUAGUUUCUUAUGUUUAAUAGAUUUAUAUGCUAAUUUUUUAAUAUACUUUCUUAACAAAUAAAACGUUUUUAAAUGUCAGAAUCAGAUUUAGUAUUUAAAACUUGUAUAAAAAAACCAUCUUUCUUUAGUUCCAAAAGCUAAAAAAUCGUCUUAAUCUCUAAAUUCCAAUUAAUAUAUUAUCACUGAUUUGUGCACCGAGAAAAAGCUUUUUGUUGCCAAAACAAAAGCAAGGAUUGCUUAGAAGGAACAGUUACCAUUGUAAAUUAUUUCUCAUCAUUUGUUAUUUUAAGAAACAUAUUGUCUAAGAUACAAAUCACAUUUGUUCACUUAGAGUUCAAUGGCUACAACAGCAAAUCACAUUUCUUCACUUGGAGUUCAAUGGCUACAACAGCAAAUCAAACGUAACAAAUCAUUUGUUCUCACAAUAGAGUUAUUUGUUGUCCCACAAUAAUGUCAGCAAAUCAUUUACUACAGUAGUUUCUGUCUUGUUAAUUUAACAAAAAUAUUUAUCUCAGUGUGUAUACUUAUAACUGUGAUAAUUAGUGGGUAUUUACUGUCUUUUAGUGAUUUUUGCUUUAAAAAUAAAAUCACUGAAAGAUCAAUGUAUUUUUAGUUCACUAAUUAACAAGUUAUAAAUGUACCAUUGAAAAUCAGUGUAUUUUUGAUGAUAAUGUUUUUGGUAGUUAUACAGAUUAGAAAUAUUAAAUAAGAGUAAGAUUAUAUUAAAAUUAUAUUAUAUUAAAUAAAAAUAAGAUUAUAUUAUAUAAGUAUAUUUAUAGAAAUAUUAAAUAAUAAGUAUCAAUAUUUCUUAUUUAAUAAAACUCUAGAUGUUGAAAGAAAUCAAAUGCCCUAUUCAGAACAAUUCGGACUUCAUAUUAAUUUUGAUUAAAAAACUAUUUUUUUUAAUUAAAAAAAAUUAUAAAAUUUAACAUCGACCAUUAACUCAUACAUCAAAAAGAAGCCAUGAGCGCUCGUUCUAUUAUUUUUCGAUUUUAAUUGAAAGAGCAGUCGCUAUGUUGACGAUUGCACAAUCUAAUAUGAACGUACUUUUUGUGAUAGAAUUAUUGUAGAUACACUUUGGCGGACGCCCGCCUGAACAUUGAAAACUAAAUAUUAAAAACUAGAAUCAUCGAAGUGACAUUUUUCACAGAUUCUAUCUCGAGAUCUCGGGAUUAAUUGCACCGAUUUUAUUCGGACUGGUCGCAAUCAAAAAAAUUUGUAUCAUUAUAUGAUUAAU
rnacentral:misc_RNA from 1 species